GACGAACGCUGGCGGCGUGCUUAACACAUGCAAGUCGAACGGAAAGGCCCUGCUUUUGUGGGGUGCUCGAGUGGCGAACGGGUGAGUAACAAGUGAGUAACCUGCCCUUGACUUUGGGAUAACUUCAGGAAACUGGGGCUAAUACCGGAUAGGAGCUCCUGCUGCAUGGUGGGGGUUGGAAAGAUUCGGCGGUUGGGGAUGGACUCGCGGCUUAUCAGCUUGUUGGUGGGGUAGUGGCUUACCAAGGCUUUGACGGGUAGCCGGCCUGAGAGGGUGACCGGCCACAUUGGGACUGAGGGACGGACCAGACUCCUACGUGAGGCAGCAGUGGGAAAUAUUGCGGAGUGGGCGGAAGCCUGAGGCGGCGACUCCGCGUGCGGGAAGACGGCCUUCGAGUUGUAAACCGCUUUCGCCUGUGACGAAGCGUGAGUGACGGUAAUGGGUAAAGAAGCACCGGCUAACUACGUG
rnacentral:rRNA from 1 species